rnacentral:sRNA from 1 species
GGAGGUGGUUGACUCAAUGGUUCAGCAUUUUAAAGUAACUAUAUUUGGAGACCGUAGACCAGUUUAUGAUGGAAAAAGAAGUCUUUACACCGCCAAUCCACUUCCUGUGGCAACUACAGGGGUAGAUUUAGACGUUACUUUACCUGGGGAAGGUGGAAAAGAUCGACCUUUCAAGGUGUCGAUCAAAUUUGUCUCUCGGGUGAGUUGGCACCUACUGCAUGAAGUACUGACAGGACGGACCUUGCCUGAGCCACUGGAAUUAGACAAGCCAAUCAGCACUAACCCUGUCCAUGCCGUUGAUGUGGUGCUACGACAUCUGCCCUCCAUGAAAUACACGCCUGUGGGGCGUUCAUUUUUCUCCGCUCCAGAAGGAUAUGACCACCCUCUGGGAGGGGGCAGGGAAGUGUGGUUUGGAUUCCAUCAGUCUGUUCGGCCUGCCAUGUGGAAAAUGAUGCUUAAUAUUGAUGGUAAGGGAACUAAAGCCAUAUUCUGUAUUGGGUGGUGGAUUUCUGUAUGAUGUGUGUACAUAAAUUUUAUGUAUAAUUAUA